UACAGAGGGUGCAAGCGUUGUUCGGAAUUAUUGGGCGUAAAGGGCGCGUAGGCGGCUUGGCAAGUGGAUGGUGAAAUCCCUCGGCUUAACCGAGGAACUGCCGUCCAAACUGCUUAGCUUGAGACCGGGAGAGGUGAGUGGAAUUCCCAGUGUAGCGGUGAAAUGCGUAGAUAUUGGGAGGAACACCAGUGGCGAAGGCGGCUCACUGGACCGGUACUGACGCUGAGGCGCGAAAGCGUGGGGAGCAAACGGG
rnacentral:rRNA from 1 species